rnacentral:sRNA from 1 species
GAAAAGGGGGGCAACUCCCUGAGUAAAGUGGCGCACGGGUGAGUAACGCGUGGGUAACCUACCCUUAAGUUUGGGAUAACUCCGCGAAAGCGAAGUUAAUACCGGAUGAGACCACGGGGUCCUCGGAUCCUGCGGAAAAACGAUGGCCUCUGCUUGCAAGCUAUCGCCUGACGAUGAGCCCGCGUCCCAUUAGCUAGUUGGUGAGGUAACGGCUCACCAAGGCUGAGAUGGGUAGCUGGUCUGAGAGGAUGAUCAGCCACACUGGGAUCUGAGACACGGCGCAGACUCCUACGGUAUUUCUCCAGUGGGGAUUUCUAGAAAUCUCCUGC